rnacentral:tRNA from 1 species
GUCAGGAUGGCUAAGUGGUCUAAGGUGCUAAACUCAAGUUUUGUUCUUCGUAAGAGGGCGUAGGUUCUAAUCCCACUUUUGACA